rnacentral:rRNA from 1 species
UACGAAGGGUGCAAGCGUUACUCGGAAUUACUGGGCGUAAAGCGUGCGUAGGUGGUGAGUUAAGUCUGAUGUGAAAUCCCCGGGCUCAACCUGGGAAUGGCAUUGGAUACUGGCUCGCUAGAGUGCGGUAGAGGGUGGUGGAAUUCCCGGUGUAGCAGUGAAAUGCGUAGAUAUGCGGAGGAACACCGAUGGCGAAGGCAAUCCCCUGGACCUGUACUGACGCUCAUGCACGAAAGCGUGGGGAGCAAACAGG